rnacentral:rRNA from 1 species
AUUGAACGCUGGCGGCAGGCCUAACACAUGCAAGUCGAGCGGAUGAAGGGAGCUUGCUCCUGGAUUCAGCGGCGGACGGGUGAGUAAUGCCUAGGAAUCUGCCUGGUGGUGGGGGAUAACGUCCGGAAACGGGCGCUAGUACCGCAUACGUCCUGAGGGAGAAAGUGGGGGAUCUUCGGACCUCACGCUAUCAGAUGAGCCUAGGUCGGAUUAGCUAGUUGGUGGGGUAAAGGCCUACCAAGGCGACGAUCCGUAACUGGUCUGAGAGGAUGAUCAGUCACACUGGAACUGAGACACGGUCCAGACUCCUACGGGAGGCAGCAGUGGGGAAUAUUGGACAAUGGGCGAAAGCCUGAUCCAGCCAUGCCGCGUGUGUGAAGAAGGUCUUCGGAUUGUAAAGCACUUUAAGUUGGGAGGAAGGGCAGUAAGUUAAUACCUUGCUGUUUUGACGUUACCAACAGAAUAAGCACCGGCUAACUUCGUG